rnacentral:tRNA from 1 species
GGCCUGUAGCUCAGUGGCAGAGCACUUGCCUAGCAUGUAUGAGGCACUGGGUUUGAUCCUUAGCAUCA